CCCUAGUAACUGCGAGUGAAGCGGGAAAAGCUCAAAUUUAAAAUCUGGCGGUCUUUGGCCGUCCGAGUUGUAAUCUGGAGAAGCGUUUUCCGCGUCGGACCGUGUACAAGUCUCCUGGAACGGAGCGUCAUAGAGGGUGAGAAUCCCGUCUUUGACACGGACUGCCGAUGCUAUGUGAUGCGCUCUCAAAGAGUCGAGUUGUUUGGGAAUGCAGCUCAAAAUGGGUGGUAAAUUCCAUCUAAAGCUAAAUAUUGGCGAGAGACCGAUAGCGAACAAGUACCGUGAGGGAAAGAUGAAAAGAACUCUGGAAAGAGAGUUAAACAGUACGUGAAAUUGUUGAAAGGGAAACGCUUGAAGUCAGUCGCGUCUGCUGGGGAUCAACCUUGCUCUUCUGCUUGGUGUACUUCCUAGUUUGACGGGUCAGCAUCGGUUUUGAUUGCUGGAAAAAGGGUGGAGGAAUGUGGCAUCUUCGGGUGUGUUAUAGCCUCUGCUCUCAUACAGCGGUUGGGACCGAGGAACUCAGCACGCCUUUUUGGCCGGGGUUCGCCCACGUACGUGCUUAGGAUGCUGGCAUAAUGGCUUUAAGCGACCCGUCUUGAAACACGGACCAAGGAGUCUAACAUGCCCGCGAGUGUUUGGGUGGAAAACCCGGACGCGUAAUGAAAGUGAUAGUUGAGACCUCUGUCGUGGAGGGCAUCGACGCCCGGACCAGACCUUCUGUGACGGUUCCGCGGUAGAGCGUGUAUGUUGGGACCCGAAAGAUGGUGAACUAUGCCUGAAUAGGGUGAAGCCAGAGGAAACUCUGGUGGAGGCUCGUAGCGAUUCUGACGUGCAAAUCGAUCGUCAAAUUUGGGUAUAGGGGCGAAAGACUAAUCGA
rnacentral:rRNA from 1 species